rnacentral:rRNA from 1 species
GCGUGGUAGGAGAGCGUUCUGUAAGCCUGUGAAGGUGUCUUGUAAAGGAUGCUGGAGGUAUCAGAAGUGCGAAUGCUGACAUGAGUAGCGAUAAAGGGGGUGAAAGGCCCCCUCGCCGUAAGCCCAAGGUUUCCUACGCAACGUUCAUCGGCGUAGGGUGAGUCGGCCCCUAAGGCGAGGCAGAGAUGCGUAGCUGAUGGGAAGCAGGUUAAUAUUCCUGCACCGUCGUAUGAUGCGAUGGGGGGACGGAUCGCGGAAGGUUGUCCGGGUGUUGGAAGUCCCGGUCCCUGUAGUGGAGAAGGCGCUUAGGCAAAUCCGGGCGCGGAAUUCAAGGCUAUGGGGCGAGCGGCCUAGUGCUGCGAAGCAAUUGGAAGUGGUUCCAAGAAAAGCCUCUAAGCUUCAGUCAUACGAGACCGUACCGCAAACCGACACAGGUGGGCGAGAUGAGUAUUCUAAGGCGCUUGAGAGAACUCGGGAGAAGGAACUCGGCAAAUUGGUACCGUAACUUCGGGAUAAGGUACGCCCUGGUAGCUUGACUGGCCUGCGCCAGAAGGGUGAAGGGGUUGCAAUAAAAUGGUGGCUGCGACUGUUUAAUAAAAACACAGCACUCUGCAAACACGAAAGUGGACGUAUAGGGUGUGACGCCUGCCCGGUGCCGGAAGAUUAAAUGAUGGGGUGCAAGCUCUUGAUUGAAGUCCCGGUAAACGGCGGCCGUAACUAUAACGGUCCUAAGGUAGCGAAAUUCCUUGUCGGGUAAGUUCCGACCUGCACGAAUGGCGUAACGAUGGCCACACUGUCUCCUCCCGAGACUCAGCGAAGUUGAAGUGUUUGUGAUGAUGCAAUCUCCCCGCGGCUAGACGGAAAGACCCCAUGAACCUUUACUGUAGCUUUGCAUUGGACUUUGAACCGAUCUGUGUAGGAUAGGUGGGAGGCUUUGAAGCGUGGACGCUAGUUCACGUGGAGCCGUCCUUGAAAUACCACCCUGGUUUGUUUGAGGUUCUAACCUUGGCCCGUGAAUCCGGGUCGGGGACAGUGCAUGGUAGGCAGUUUGACUGGGGCGGUCUCCUCCCAAAGUGUAACGGAGGAGUUCGAAGGUACGCUUGGUACGGUCGGACAUCGUACCUAAAGUGCAAUGGCAAAAGCGUGCUUAACUGCGAGACCGACAAGUCGAGCAGGUGCGAAAGCAGGACAUAGUGAUCCGGUGGUUCUGAAUGGAAGGGCCAUCGCUCAACGGAUAAAAGGUACUCUGGGGAUAACAGGCUGAUACCGCCCAAGAGUUCAUAUCGACGGCGGUGUUUGGCACCUCGAUGUCGGCUCAUCUCAUCCUGGGGCUGUAGCCGGUCCCAAGGGUAUGGCUGUUCGCCAUUUAAAGAGGUACGUGAGCUGGGUUUAAAACGUCGUGAGACAGUUUGGUCCCUAUCUGCCGUGGGCGUUGGAAUCUUGACGGGGGCUGCUCCUAGUACGAGAGGACCGGAGUGGACGUACCGCUGGUGUACCUGUUGUCUCGCCAGAGGCAUCGCAGGGUAGCUAUGUACGGAAGAGAUAACCGCUGAAAGCAUCUAAGCGGGAAACUCGCCUGAAGAUGAGGAUUCCCUGGAGGCUUGACCUCCUUGAAGGGUCGUUCGAGACCAGGACGUUGAUAGGCUGGGUGUGGAAGCGCAGUAAUGCGUUAAGCUAACCAGUACUAAUUGCCCGUAAGGCUUGAUCCU